AUUGAACGCUGGCGGCAGGCCUAACACAUGCAAGUCGAACGAGUGGCGGACGGGAGAGCAAUGUCUGGGAAACUGCCUGAUGGAGGGGGAUAACUACUGGAAACGGAAGCCAAUACCGCAUAGCAUCGGCUGUGCCCAGAUGGGUUUAGCUAGUAGGUGGGGUAAAGGCUUACCAAGGCGACGAUCCCUAACUGGUCUGAGAGGAUGACCAGCCACACUGGAACUGAGACACGGUCCAGACUCCUACGGGAGGCAGCAGUGGGGAAUAUUGCACAAUGGGCGCAAGCCUGAUGCAGCCAUGCCGCGUGUAUGAAGAAGGCCUUCGGGUUGUAAAGUACUUUCAGCGGGGAGGCGUUACCCGCAGAAGAAGCACCGGCUAACUCCGUGCCAGCAGCCGCGGUAAUAC
rnacentral:rRNA from 1 species